AAAGGACAAGAUUUGUCUGGAGAAUGGGAGGAGGCAGAAAGUAUUAAGAGGUUCCCGGGGCAAGACCCAAAUGGAGUGAUUCGGCUGCCAGCUGGUGUUAAAAACAAGCCAACUCCAAGAAAGUUACGGAUUACCUCUAAGUGAGAAAAAGGAAGCAUAAGAACAACAAAGAAAAUGGAAAGAACAAAAGACUCAAGUUCUCCAACCCCCAAGUAAUGACUUGAGAAGUAUGUUAGUUUUUGAUUAGUCAAUUACAAAGCAUAUGAAAAUUUUAUUAU